GACGAACGCUGGCGGCGUGCCUAAUACAUGCAAGUUGAGCGCUGAAGGUUGGUACUUGUACCAACUGGAUGAGCAGCGAACGGGUGAGUAACGCGUGGGGAAUCUGCCUUUGAGCGGGGGACAACAUUUGGAAACGAAUGCUAAUACCGCAUAAAAACUUUAAACACAAGUUUUAAGUUUGAAAGAUGCAAUUGCAUCACUCAAAGAUGAUCCCGCGUUGUAUUAGCUAGUUGGUGAGGUGAAGGCUCACCAAGGCGAUGAUACAUAGCCGACCUGAGAGGGUGAUCGGCCACAUUGGGACUGAGACACGGCCCAAACUCCUACGGGAGGCAGCAGUAGGGAAUCUUCGGCAAUAGACGAAAGUCUGACCGAGCAACGCCGCGUGAGUGAAGAAGGUUUUCGGAUCGUAAAACUCUGUUGGUAGAGAAGAACGUUGGUGAGAGUGGAAAGCUCAUCAAGUGACGGUAACUACCCAGAAAGGGACGGCUAACUACGUG
rnacentral:rRNA from 1 species